rnacentral:rRNA from 1 species
CACGGAGGGGGCUAGCGUUGUUCGGAAUUACUGGGCGUAAAGCGCACGUAGGCGGCUUUGUAAGUUAGAGGUGAAAGCCCAGGGCUUAACCCUGGAAUUGCCUUUAAGACUGCAUCGCUAGAAUCGUGGAGAGGUGAGUGGAAUUCCGAGUGUAGAGGUGAAAUUCGUAGAUAUUCGGAAGAACACCAGUGGCGAAGGCGACUCACUGGACACGUAUUGACGCUGAGGUGCGAAAGCGUGGGGAGCAAACAGG